CGUCUAUAUACGUAUAGCAUAUCAAUAAGCGGAGGAAAAGAAACUAACUAGGAUUCCCUCAGUAACGGCGAGUGAAGCGGGAAGAGCUCAAAUUUGAAAUCUUCAAGGUUCUACCUUGACGAAUUGUAGUUUAAAGAAGUGUUUUCUGUUGGAGUUUUGGUAAAAGUUCUUUGGAGUAGGACAUCAUAGAGGGUGAGAAUCCCGUAUUUGACCAUUAUUUUCAACUUUGUGAUACACUUUCAAAGAGUCGGAUUGUUUGGGAAUGCAGUCCAAAAUGGGUGGUAAAUUUCAUCUAAAGCUAAAUAUUGGCGAGAGACCGAUAGCGAACAAGUACCGUGAGGGAAAGAUGAAAAGAACUUUGAAAAGAGAGUUAAACAGUACGUGAAAUUGUCAAAAGGGAAGCGUUUGACACCAGUGUUGUUUUCUCGAAAAUCAAUUAAAAAUGGCUGAUUUUGUGUUGUAUUGACUUUAUCAGCUUUCUGCACUUUUUUCCUGUCUUUUUUAAUGCACUUUUCGUUUAACAAGUCAACAUCAAUUUCUUUUGUUGUAAAAGAGUCAUUGGAAGGUGGCUUUCUUUUCGGAGAAAGUGUUUAUAGCCUUUGGCCUCUGCAAUCGGAGAGAUUGAGGUCUGCAGCGUAGAUCCUUCGGGGUUAGAUACAUUUGUGCUAAGUUAUAGCCUUUCAUAGACAACUUGUUGACUAUGAUCAGUCAUGUAGCUUACUCGCUUAUGUCAUUUUACCUACGCUUAGGAUGUUGAUCUGUAGUGCGUGCGC
rnacentral:rRNA from 1 species